GAAGAGAUGGGAAGCUUGCUUCUAUUGAUUCGAGUGGCAAACGGGUGAGUAACGCGUAAGCAACCUGCCCUUCAGAUGGGGACAACAGCUGGAAACGGCUGCUAAUACCGAAUACGUCUUUUUGUCGCAUGGCAGAGGGAAGAAAGGGAGGCUCUUCGGAGCUUUCGCUGAAGAUGGGCCUGCGUCUGAUUAGCUAGUUGGUGAGAUAACAGCCCACCAAGGCGACGAUCAGUAGCCGGUCUGAGAGGAUGAACGGCCACAUUGGGACUGAGACACGGCCCAGACUCCUACGGGAGGCAGCAGUGGGGAAUAUUCCGCAAUGGGCGAAAGCCUGACGGAGCAACGCCGCGUGAGUGAAGAAGGUCUUCAGAUCGUAAAGCUCUGUUGAAGGGGACGCACGGCGCCUGCUACAAGAUAGCAGGUGAAUGACGGUACCCUUCGAGGAAGCCACGGCUAACUACGUG
rnacentral:rRNA from 1 species